rnacentral:lncRNA from 1 species
ACCACACAUGUGACCUUGGACCACAUGGCUUCUUGGGACCUUUUGAGCCCUUCGUAUAUGAUCCUAUGAAGUGGCUUGAGCUGAAAUGCAUUCUUCACCCCUUUGAUUCUGCUGCAAGAAGGUAACAAAUAUACACGUAUCAUCGAUCUGAACAAAAUCACAAAAUUGUUUUGAGUUAGAGGAAACCAUAGAGAUCAGCAGGCUCAAUUUCUCCUAACUGCAAAUGAAGAAUCUGAGGCCCUGAGAAGGAAGUAGGUCAGAAGAAAGGCAAACCUCACUUUACAUAUGAGGAAACGGAGGUCUCAGGAGAAUGAGCGAUUUACCCAAGAUCACACAAUUAGUGACAGAAGUAGAAUGCAAACCCGGGUCUUCUAACUCUAGUUCCCAAGUGCUUUCUAUGAGAGUGACAAGGUUGUUGUAGAGAAGUUUUAUUUACUUCCCCAUACCUCUCCACCAACUUUGAAGCUACUUGUAUAAUCCUAACUCCAUCUGUCCCAGCCCACAUUUUAGGACGGGCUCAAGACUUAUGUUCAAAGUCAUUCCCCUAAAACUAAUCUACCCCCUGGAGAAGCUCCCUGGGAGAAAGGAAAUGUAGUACAGAACAAAAAUCAGGAAGUACUCUAGCAGAACAGACAAAGCCAGACACAGACAUCCUUCACCUGUGAAAUGUGUGGAUUUGUGUGGCAGUCAGAUGGAUUCAUGCCUGCUUUCCAGGCAAAUAUACUGAUCAUGCUUUUCUUGAACCUCCACCCAGAAACCUAGAAAGUAAGAAGCCUAGCUCAUCUUUAUAUGGACUUGUGCUCUUACCUCAUCAUAAGCCUGGAAGAUCUAUGUCAUUUCCCCCACUUUACAAAGAGCAAACCAAAUAUGCCUGUGCUUUUCUGCUAAUAACCACACCAUAGCUCUCCAAGGGCUACCAGAACUUCCUGUAGUCCCUCAAUCCUCAACUCAGCUCCAAGAAGCCGGCAGCAUAUUUUGCAAAUUAAACAUAUGCCCAAAGACCAAAAGCCCCAAUCACUGCCCCAAGUAAUAGUAACAGCUGAUAAUAUUUAUUUAUACUAAACAAUAUAUUUGGGAGUACGGUGGAUGAAGAGCCCUCCAUCAGAGACCUUGGUGAACUCAAGUCCUGCCUAUGACACAUACUGGCUGUUUGACCCAUGAGGUAGGAAGACAAUCCUUCUGAGCUAUAGGCAACCAAACUCUCCGAAGACUUUUCAGUUUCAGUCAUCCAGGGUUUCCUGGAUCAAUAAAAUUACAGGCCCAAUU